AGCGAACGCUGGCGGCAGGCCUAACACAUGCAAGUCGAACGGACCCUUCGGGGUUAGUGGCGGACGGGUGAGUAACACGUGGGAACGUGCCUUUAGGUUCGGAAUAGCUCCUGGAAACGGGUGGUAAUGCCGAAUGUGCCCUUAGGGGGAAAGAUUUAUCGCCUUUAGAGCGGCCCGCGUCUGAUUAGCUAGUUGGUGAGGUAAUAGCUCACCAAGGCUACGAUCAGUAGCUGGUCUGAGAGGAUGACCAGCCACAUUGGGACUGAGACACGGCCCAAACUCCUACGGGAGGCAGCAGUGGGGAAUCUUGCGCAAUGGGCGAAAGCCUGACGCAGCCAUGCCGCGUGGAUGAUGAAGGUCUUAGGAUUGUAAAAUCCUUUCACCGGUGAAGAUAAUGACUGUAGCCGGAGAAGAAGCCCCGGCUAACUUCGUGCCAGCCGCCGCCGUAACAC
rnacentral:rRNA from 1 species